rnacentral:sRNA from 1 species
UGACCGCCAUUAUUGGCUAAGGCUACACGGACGGCCGGGUCAAAUGCCGA